AACUGAGAGCCUCACGGCAAGGUUGUUGGCUGCUGGUUACGGCCUUUUUUCCGGCGUAGCCGCGUGGGCCGCGCGGCUGCUGUGUUGGAGCUCUGGUGACCGUCCCCAGGCGAUGAUGGGUUGAUGGUGGAGGGGCGGUCGCCUUCCCCGUUCCAAGUUCCAAGCCUGGCCGCGACCUGGCCGCGCUCUCUGCCUCCUGUUCCUCUUGGCACGAGGACAGUGGCGGUUCCGGCCUAGGACCGCAGCCGUGCGCCCGUGCUGCCCCGGCUUUACCUGCCACGCAUUUCAGCGGUCCAGAGCCCGCGGGAUCGAAUGAAGGCCAAGCUUCUGUACCGCCUUCUCACCUGCCACCCGCGAGGUGUUCGACCUUAUGGCGCUGAAGCAGUGAAGCGGGUGCGCCGGCGCGCUGUUGAGGUUCAGAGUUGACGUCGACUGAAAUCGAAUUACGCAGGUGUUGUUGCCCACUGCUUGCCAAGACAUGAUCGGUUUGUCGAUUGUCAUGAUUAGGUUGCCCAAAGUUCGUCUGUAGUUAUGCCAGCUUAUCAAAGCUACCUGCCUUCGUGGAAGCUGCGUUACAGAUCCAGUUGCAGCACAAAGCGAAAUGAUGAUGGAGAAAUGUCACAGUAAUGAUAGGUAACAGUGGACCAGGUGCGAGGUAAGCAGUGACAACAUCAAUCAAUGAUUCAUCCAACUUUUUGCAUGAAUUGUAAAUUUUCAUUUUUGCACAAGACUAGUUUGAAACAUAAUAGGAUUUUUCUUUUUUAAGAUGAAAACUGCAAUUUUCACAUUUUAGUUUUCAUGUUAUGUGUAACAAAUCUGUCUCUUUCUAAUAUAAUACUGGAACUGAAGUGAUCUCAGGCACAUAGAAAGGUAAUCAUGUUACCUCCAGGGGAAGGUGAAACGCAAUCUGAAAGCGACAAAAGGUACUUCCUUAUGCUUCCCGAUUGCACUGAGAAAUUGACCAGGGGGAUUUGCCCAGCACUGCCAACCUCACUGAAGCUCAGGAUCCAUUCGAACCGCGGAGAGGCAUGGCAUGAAGCAAGACUGCGCUCAUCCGGCUCUAUGCUUUGGUGAACCUCCUUGUCAACCCCAAAGAUGCUGUGGAAAACUGUGAUGUUGCUGUGGGCGCAGCUGAUCGAUGAGAACCACGUCACCAAGUCUGGGUAACUUCUCUUGAAGUUGUCCACAGGCGGCAUGAAGUUGAAGAUGAAACUGCAGGACAAGUUGUUGCUGACGCUGAGCUGCACAUCCUGGACUACCACGGCUGGGUCGAGACCCGGAGUACCAACGAAGAAAGGAGGUCUGAUCUCGAUGGGUUCGGUACUGUUGCAUUGAAGCUCGGACGGGCAUGAAGUGGCCGAGGAGAAGGUUGGGAGUAGGAUGAAGAGGAAGAUGGCCAGAGAGGCCGAGGAGACUGGUGAGGUGCUCAUCGCUGGGCAAUAGACCCUAACAACUCAGGCUUGCAACUGCAUCAGCCGCUGCAAAGUUAUUCUGCAAGGCAGAUGCCAGUGGCCUUUAAGGCAAUGCUACAGGUGCACGGGGCGAAGACCCGCGGUAGAGUUGAAGAGUGUCACGCAGAUAGCGAAUGUGCCCGUUUCCUCCAAAUUCAAAGUCGUUACUGUUGACGAGGGCCGCCGAGUUACCACCAGUAAAACAAAAGAACGACUAGCAAAUCAGUCUCACUGGUCAGUACUUCAGUAAGCAGUUCGGUCAGUACACGGCGAGUAACUGCAAAGGUCCCCGUCAAGCUCAACAGCUUAUCGUGUGCAAGAACUCCAAACGAUCGAACUCGACGUUGUACAGUCACUCUGCUAAUGGUUUGUAAACCAAACCAAAACCACACCAAACUAUUUUAUUAUUAAUAUAUUUUAGAAAUCAAA